rnacentral:rRNA from 1 species
UACGUAGGUCCCGAGCGUUGUCCGAAUUUAUUGGGCGUAAAGCGAGCGCAGGUGGUUUAUUAAGUCUGGUGUAAAAGGCAGUGGCUCAACCAUUGUAUGCAUUGGAAACUGGUAGACUUGAGUGCAGGAGGGGAGAGUGGAAUUCCAUGUGUAGCGGUGAAAUGCGUAGAUAUAUGGAGGAACACCGGUGGCGAAAGCGGCUCUCUGGCCUGUAACUGACACUGAGGCUCGAAAGCGUGGGGAGCAAACAGG